UUCACUUUUAAUUGUAAGCCGCUCUGGAUAAGAGUGUCUGCUAAAUGACUCAAA
rfam:Salmo salar isolate Sally breed double haploid chromosome ssa06, whole genome shotgun sequence.